rnacentral:rRNA from 1 species
UACAGAGGGGGCAAGCGUUGUUCGGAAUUACUGGGCGUAAAGGGCGCGUAGGCGGCCCGCUAAGUCGAACGUGAAAUCCCCGGGCUUAACCCGGGAACUGCGUCCGAUACUGGCAGGCUUGAAUCCGGGAGAGGGAUGUGGAAUUCCAGGUGUAGCGGUGAAAUGCGUAGAUAUCUGGAGGAACACCGAUGGCGAAGGCAGCCAUCUGGACCGACACUGACGCUGAGGCGCGAAAGCGUGGGGAGCAAACAGG